rnacentral:rRNA from 1 species
UACGUAGGGUGCAAGCGUUAUCCGGAAUUAUUGGGCGUAAAGAGCUCGUAGGCGGUUUGUCGCGUCUGCUGUGAAAACCGGAGGCUCAACCUCCGGCCUGCAGUGGGUACGGGCAAACUAGAGUGCGGUAGGGGAGAUUGGAAUUCCUGGUGUAGCGGUGGAAUGCGCAGAUAUCAGGAGGAACACCGAUGGCGAAGGCAGAUCUCUGGGCCGUAACUGACGCUGAGGCGCGAAAGCAUGGGUAGCGAACAGG